GCUUACGGCCAUACCACCCUGAGAACGCCCGAUCUCGUCUGAUCUCGGAAGCUAAACAGGGUCGGGCCUGGUUAGUACUUGGAUGGGAGACCGCCUGGGAAUACCAGGUGCUGUAAGCU
ensembl:rRNA 5S_rRNA 5S ribosomal RNA